AGGAGUAUAGCUCAGUUGGUAGAGCGCCACCCUUACAAGGUGGAUGUCAUCGGUUCGAACCCGGUUACUCCUA
rnacentral:tRNA from 1 species